GGGGUAGUACUGGUUUCGACGGGGGCUUAGAAAUUAGGGCAGCCAUCCGAGGUGGGUGACCUCGUAAAAACAUCUAUUAAAUAUAAACGCUGAUAAUAAAUUAGCACUCGCUGCCUAAGUGCAGCUGUCAGCCCUGUGUCAUCCGCUGCAUAGGUCACUGGCAUCGAACAGGCGGAGCACUUCCGGAUCAAAGCCUGUAGAUCAGGGAAGAAUAACAGGCUACCGAAGCUUAGAGCUUGUAAGUGGGCGCUGGGCCGGGGGAAUCUCAAAUCACUUACUGUGAUGGAAGACACCUUAAUGGAAAAACUUUCGGACGCGGGUUCGAUUCCCGCCUGCUCCA
rnacentral:tmRNA from 1 species